rnacentral:lncRNA from 1 species
GAUUGUUGCCAUUAUGUGCAGCAAUCAUAGAGCAUUUACAGCCUAUCUUCUAGAAGAGGAUGGCUGCCAUUGCCAUUGUCAAAGAGGGCUGCUAGGUGCAGCCACCAUUGUUGAAGAAGAGCUGGAGUUGGCAGCCACCUUUGUUAAAGAAGAGCUGGAAUUGGCAGCCACCAUUAUUGACAAAAGAGCUGAAGGAGCUGCCAUGAAUGCCUAUAAAUAGAGGCAUACAUUAGAGAG